AUCCGGCAGACGAGUCCCAAAUACGACGAAACGCGCGUCCUGGAU
rfam:Schistosoma margrebowiei strain Zambia genome assembly, scaffold: SMRZ_contig0004054